rnacentral:rRNA from 1 species
CACGUAGGCACCAAGCGUUAUCCGGAUUUAUUGGGCGUAAAGAGCUCGUAGGCGGUUCGGUAAGUCGGGUGUGAAAACUCUGGGCUCAACCCAGAGAGGCCACCCGAUACUGCUGUGACUAGAGUGCGGUAGGGGAGCGGGGAAUUCCUGGUGUAGCGGUGAAAUGCGCAGAUAUCAGGAGGAACACCGGUGGCGAAGGCAAUCCCCUGGGCCUGCACUGACGCUCAUGCACGAAAGCGUGGGGAGCAAACAGG